rnacentral:rRNA from 1 species
CUGGGAUUAGAUACCCCACUAUGCUUAGCCCUAAACCUAGAUAGUUAGCUCAAACAAAACUAUCCGCCAGAGAACUACUAGCAACAGCUUAAAACUCAAAGGACUUGGCGGUGCUUUAUAUCCCUCUAGAGGAGCCUGUUCUAUAAUCGAUAAACCCCGAUAAACCUCACCAUCUCUUGCUAAUUCAGCCUAUAUACCGCCAUCU